AAGAGAUAGAAGAUUCUGCUCUGGAGAGGCGUGGGGGGAAAGGUACCUGUGUCUUCUACUCCUGCUCGCCUGCCCCACCAGACCUUGUUCAGCCAUGACUUGUCUCCAUCUCAACCUUGACUCACCCAAGCUAUCUUCCAUCCCAGGCCUGCUCCGCCAGAAACCAGCUCCAUCUCAAUCUAGUAGCCACCACCACAGGUUUGUUGCUGUUGGUUUGCCAGGACGGACUCCCUGUUUCCACUUCCUGGGGUUUGACCAGGCCAGUUGUUCCUCGAUGCCCGCCUUGGCGUUUGGGUUUGAAUCAUGCUUCUGAGCCUGCCUACGGCAUCCGUAUCCACCCCCACUCCAAAUUGCUACUGGGUGUUUUAAUCUCCUCUGCCUUCCUCAGGUUCUUCUCCCCAACAGCACCUCAUAAAACUCCCUGACUUUGCUCUACUUACAGGUGUCUGUUCAGCUAGCCCAGGCGAGAAAUCGGCCAUUAUUCUCUCUAAGAACUUUGCUCAGCUCCCCCUAAUAAUCCAUUUGUGCUUUUCGUCCUCUGUGGCGUCUCAAUUCCAAUGAAAUUUCUGGGAUAUGCUUAUCGUGAAGACAAAAGCUUUUCAUCCUCAAAUCCCUCCAUUAUUUUAUGUAUUUAUGUGUGUGUUGCAGUAUUGAUGUCCUGCCUUUCAAUAGCAAGGCAUGUUCAAGGUGGCCUACAAAAUAAAUGAUGUGAAAUUAA